rfam:Oryza glumipatula chromosome 7, whole genome shotgun sequence.
AAAAAAACAAACCCUGAGUUUCCGUGUCUAACGUUUAACUAUCCGUCUUAUAUGAAAUUUUUUUAUAAUUAGUAUUUUCAUUGUUAUUAGAUGAUAAAACAUGAAUAAUAAUUUAUGCGUGACUUAUGUUUUUAAUUUUUUUAGAGUAAAGUCCAUCACCGGUCCUUAAACUUAUACCGUUGUGUCAUCCCGGUCCCUAAA